AUUGAACGCUGGCGGCAGGCCUAACACAUGCAAGUCGAGCGGAUGAAGGGAGCUUGCUCCUGGAUUCAGCGGCGGACGGUUGAGUAAUGCCUAUGAAUUUGCCUGGUAUUGGGGGAUAACGUCCUGAAACGGGCGCUAAUACCGCAUACGUCCUGAGGGAGAAAGUGGGGGAUCUUCGGACCUCACGCUAUCAGAUGAGCCUAGGUCGGAUUAGCUAGUUGGUGGGGUAAAGGCCUACCAAGGCGACGAUCCGUAACUGGGCUGAGAGGAUGAUCAGUCACACUGGAACUGAGACACGGUCCAGACUCCUACGGGAGGCAGCAGUGGGGAAUAUUGGACAAUGGGCGAAAGCCUGAUCCAGCCAUGCCGCGUGUGUGAAGAAGGUCUUCGGAUUGUAAAGCACUUUAAGUUGGGAGGAAGGGCAGUAAGUUAAUACCUUGCUGUUUUGACGUUACCAACAGAAUAAGCACCGGCUAACUUCGUG
rnacentral:rRNA from 1 species